GAUAGGGCCAAAAAUAAUAUUUCUCACUGGAUUGUUGUGAGGAGUAAAUGAGAUGGCACAGAUAAAGUACUUAGAGCAGUACUUGACUGUGUCCUUACUUCAACAUUUCUCCGUAUAUUGUCUACUCUCAACCCAACAACUAAAAUGUCUCUUUAAAACGUAAGUCAGAACGAUUUUGCCAACAUUCACAUAAGCAAAUAUUGAUUUCUUAGAAGUAAAAAAAAUCAUAGCCAUAAGAAAAAGGGUACAAUUAGGCUCAAAAAAUAUUUUUCCAUGCAAUCUCAGAUAAAAAGUUAUCUCAACAUUUGUGUAUCUUUUCCGGCAAUACCCUUGUUCUCCAUAGAGCAAGAAGCCAUGAGCAUCACAAUCAAAAUGAGGUAAUAUGGGGAGGAGAGAAUAACACAAACUCUCAUUCCUAUUCUGAACUGUGGAAAAGAGGAUGCCUCUUCUUCCCACGGUGCUGAUUGCCAUGCACACUAUCUGUG
rnacentral:lncRNA from 1 species